rnacentral:tRNA from 1 species
CGGGGUGUGGCUCAGUGGUAGAGCAUGUGCUUAGCAUGUGCAUGGCCCUGGUUUCCACCUCCAACACCCCCA